rnacentral:rRNA from 1 species
UACGUAGGGGGCAAGCGUUGUCCGGAAUCAUUGGGCGUAAAGAGCGUGUAGGCGGUCCGGUAAGUCGGUUGUGAAAGUCCAGGGCUCAACCCUGGGAUGCCGACCGAUACUGUCGGACUAGAGUUCGGAAGAGGCGAGUGGAAUUCCCGGUGUAGCGGUGAAAUGCGCAGAUAUCGGGAGGAACACCAGUAGCGAAGGCGGCUCGCUGGGCCGUUCCUGACGCUGAGACGCGAAAGCUAGGGGAGCGAACAGG